rnacentral:rRNA from 1 species
UACGUAGGGUGCAAGCGUUGUCCGGAAUUAUUGGGCGUAAAGAGCUCGUAGGCGGUUUGUUGCGUCGGCUGUGAAAUCCCGAGGCUCAACCUCGGGUCUGCAGUCGAUACGAGCAAACUAGAGUGUUGCAGGGGAGACUGGAAUUCCUGGUGUAGCGGUGAAAUGCGCAGAUAUCAGGAGGAACACCGGAGGCGAAGGCGGCUCACUGGGGCUUUUCUGACGCUGAGGAACGAAAGCCAGGGGAGCGAACGGG